UUUUUGUUUCAUUUUCAUUACAGUUUUUAUUAUUUUUUAAUAUUCGUUAAUUAUUUCGUUUAUGAAAAAUGUAGAUUAGUGGUUAUCCUGUUGGAUGGUUCCAAGUCAAUCGUCAAGCCUAUUACUCUUUGUUGUAGCGAAUGUGAAUAACUUUGUAAGACAAAAGGUGUUGAAGUACGCAAAAACAGCAAAGCCAGACUCUUAGUUUAUAUACAGAAGCCUUCUGUACUUGAGGAAAUGGCAAGCAUAAUUUUGAAAGAAAGAAUCUUCUGUAAUCGUUCAACUUAUACAGAUUUUUCCGAGCUGGUGAGGGAGUCAAUCGAAUCGUUUCUCUUUUGUUCCAGUGGAUGGGUGUCUUUGAGUUUGUUCCACGGCUGCUCUACACCAGUACCAAAAAUGACGUAAAACAAAUUCGUCAAAGCGUAGAUGCCUGCUGAAAGGAAGAAAACCGUUUGCCAUUGAUCGAUGGAGCCCUUGGUUGUCGAAGAUGUGAAAACACAUUAAAAUUGACAACAUACGGUGCCAGAAAUCCGCAAAUGCUGGCGACACAGUUUGUAACGCCCAUCAUAGUACCGGCGUAAUUCGAAGCAAUGUCGAUAUGAUUGGCCUAUAGAUACAAAUUCAACGUAUAAUUGCUUCAAACUAAAAAGAAAAGGUGAGCUGAAAGGAAAUUCAACACUCUUAAUUACUGUGCAAAAAUGCAUUGUUCUUUGCAUUUGUUUACCAAAGUAAGAGUGGCAACUCGGUCACAGCCUGUGUAACUCGCGCCAAUGAGUCCUAAACCUGGUAUCAGGAGCCCUGAAUAUACAUACUGCAGGUGUCAAUUUAGAAGGCCGGAAGCUCACCGUUGAAUAGCAAUUAUAUUUACCUAUGUGACACUAAAGGCGAUGGAAAACAGCCACAUUGCUAAAUACGGAAGGGCUGAAAGCAAUCCGUUCUAGUUCAAAAUCAGCUUACCGCUUUCAAGUCAAAGUGCAGGACGGUCUUCAUGUACGUCGGCAGUUCUGUAAGUAGCAUGGAAAGACCCCAGCUAUGGCCCAAAUGGGCAACUAGAAUAGCCCACAGGUGAAUGGAAGUCAUGAUUGUUGACCACGGAGUUUCUGAAAACUAAAAUGGAAUAGGAAUCAAAUUUAGAUCGGACUCUUUCGAGUUUACGAAAAAGUUUACGUCGUGUGAUGCACCGACGGACUAUCAUAGACCAAGAAAACCCAGCCAAUAAACCAGAGAAUUCCGAUUACGCCAGGGACAUAAAAUGCCAACGGCCAGCCGUUAUCGAAUUCGAGAUUACACAGGAACCCAGACAAUGGCAUGAUGAUCACCGUCCCGAAUUGAGUACCUUAAACGAAAACAAUUGAGACAUUAGACACAUUGCGGAGCGAGGGAGUGUCACACGCAAGAUGAGAACCUGCCAAGACAAAGGCGCCUAUAGUCGUCCGUUCAAAUGUAUCAUACCUCAGCUAGGCCAGUGAGUACACGCAUUGCUAUAACUGCUCCAGAGCCGCCAUGUCGUGCAGCCAAUGGAGUCAGCAUGGAAAAGAAAUCGGUGAGAAGGAUGCCAAUGCCCAACACGUAUUUGCCUCCGUACUUCUCGGCUAAAAUGCCACCUGGGAUCUGCGUCACCAUGUAACCCCAGAAGAACGCACCCAAAAUCAGGCCUUGUGUUUCACCGUCCCAAUCAAACUCGCCGUUGUUCUACAUAGGAAAAUACCUACUUCACUGUCACCGGAUUCAUCAUUUUCGCACUGUUCGCUGCCAUUUCCGCUGGAGCCUCCGCUACCGCUCCUGCCGAAGAACGUCGUAGUGUUUGGAGUUCUAACCAUGUCAACGAUAGCCACUGACAAAUUGAUUCGCAUCAUGUAAACAGCAGCCAAGCCGAGAAAUCCCAUCAAAGCGAAAACAUGCCGCGAUCCGAAGAAACCUGUGCAAAUAUCAAGAAAUGUUUUUAAAUAUUGCGCACAUAGAUUUCCAUUUAUCCUUCAAAAAGGAUGGAGAUGGAAACGUCAUUGCGUUUACAAACCGUCUGGACGUUCGGCUCCUUCAUUGUCUCCACGUUCAUUUCCAUGAGGAUGUUGCUCGCUGAUGUUGGUCUGUCGAUAAUUACACCAGUCCGGACACAAAGGUUAGUGAAGGUUAGUAACAUAAUUGUGAAACGGGUUUUUGUUUUUUUUACCUCUGAAUCACUACCUACUUUCUGAUCGUUGUUUAUGGCUUUAUCUGUCGAUUGUUUGGUGUCUACGGCGAUGAUGGAGAUUGUGUGCGACAGAGGCGGUUGGCUGCCUUUCUCAUCUCCGUCAGCAUUGCUUGACGUGUCACUCAUGUCUAUAUAUUGUUUUGGCUGGUCAGUCGGCGUAGAUAAACAAUCGUAAUACUAUCAGGCUUAAAGGCAUUUAGAUCUAGAUAAAGGUUGUUACAGAACAUGCUUUCUACGCCACACCAUUUUGAUUGACACAUUGCAAAAAAAGGAAAAAAAAAAUAAAAUGAAAUAAAUCGAUUUCCAGACGUC
rnacentral:lncRNA from 1 species